GAGCACGCAAUGGAACCCGGGGCCUUCAGACCUCACGAUACCUGAUCUUACUGGUUGCUGGCAAAUUAAAAGCUUGUGGGGUUUUGUUUUGUUUAUACUUCGUGAGGUCAAAAAAGUAGCAAUGGGGAAGGCUGGGGAUACGGUAAUUCCUCAGAGUUUCUAUGCCCAGAGAUACUUUCUCUUCAAACAGUAGACCAGAGCAGCUACUUGUAACCCAGGCCCCAUCGGGUAGGAAGGUCCUUUCCCUGUGAGUCCCACUAAAACGUGUUGGGAACAAUAGGUUCUUUGCCCAUCCGAACAAGAACUAGGGUACUCCCUCAGUCCGACUUAAUGAGAAUUAAUUUCCUAGAGGUUCAGCUUGAGUCGGUAACAGAUUUUGAGCCAUACAUGUGAAAAUGGCAAAUACAUGAUUAAGUUUCAAUUCUGAGAGGGAAUGUUUGGUAGAAAUUGCUCACCUUUGGUUAUGCAAGGGAUUAGAGAUGUGAAUAGGGUGGUAUGUUGUGUUCUUUGACAUUUUAAUAAACUGUCACUUUCCCUGUUGUCUCUUAA
rnacentral:sRNA from 1 species